GGCUGGUAUGAAGGUAGUGAGUUAUUCGCAAUUGAUGGCUCACAGCCAGUGACAGACCAAGCUCUCUGUUCUAUUCUUUCCCCCGUCUCACUACUGUUCUUGUCUCUU
ensembl:misc_RNA Y_RNA Y RNA